GGCAAGGGGCACUCCGGCAGCGGCACUAACGUCAACGUUGGCCACAAAGGUGUCGGCGUAAGCACUGGCAAGGGUCACUCCGGCAGGGGAGCCAACGUCAACGUCGGCCACAAAGGCGUGGGCGUAAGCACCGGGGGCGGAACCCACGUUGGCGUCGGCAAAGGAGGAGUCGGCGUGACCACUCCCGGCCACCACGGAAGGCCGCCGGUGUACGUCGGUGUACGUCCCGGACCGUCACCUUUUGUUUACAAUUACGCCGCCAAAGAUGAUCAACUUCACGACAACCCAAACGUCGCUCUUUUUUUCCUUGAGAAAGACUUGCACCAAGGUAGUAACAUGAACUUGCAGUUUGUGAAAACUACAAAAAAUGCCGCCACUUUCUUGCCUCGCCAAGUAGCAAAUUCUAUUCCCUUUUCGUCAAACAAGAUGCCAGAAAUUCUUAGCCAGUUUUCAGUUAAGCCCGACUCUGAAGAAGCUCAGAUCUUGAAGCAAACUGUCCAAGAAUGUGAAGAGCCAGGUAUUGUUAAUUAGAUGGAUAUUACUGAUUGUGUAAGUGUAUUAUACUAUUUGGGAAAUCUACAAAGUUGUUCUUUCAUCAUGUUUUCUUAAAUAUUUUGAAUUAUGACUUAAUAAUGAGUAGUACUUUUUAUUAGUUUCUGAAAUUAUAAUUUUUUUUAAAAAAAAUGGAAGAAUCUAUAUUCAAAUUAAAUACUUUGACCUUCCUACUCCCAACUAUGUCAACCUUUUUAAAUGGAGGGAGUAUGUAUGAAGUAGGAAUUGUCCCACGUUAGAAGUUGAAAAUGAGUUCGAAGGCUUUAUAUACUACUACUACAGACUUGAUAUUUUCAGGUUUAUUUAAAACUUGAAAUUAAAUACAAAAUGUAAAUUUAAGUUGUUACAUUUAUACGAACAAGUAUAUUUACAAAAUAAGAUAGGCUGCUUUGAAUAGCUCCAUCUUUCAAUUCUAUAUACAAAUAUGUCACUUGUUUGAAAAAUGGCUAAGCAAUUCUUAUAAGGACAUUUUAUUUUCGAACUACAGGUAUUAAAGGAGAAGAGAAGUACUGUGCUACUUCAUUAGAAUCCAUGGUUGAUUUCAGCACAUCAAAGUUAGGAAACAAAGUACAACCAGUAUCAACAGAGACAGAGAAGGAAACACAAAUGCAGAAAUACACAAUUCUAGGAGCCAAGAAAAUGGGAAAUGGGAAAUCUGAUGCUGUAGUUUGCCACAAGCAGAAUUAUGCAUAUGCAGUUUUCUACUGUCAUAAAACAGAAACAACGGAGUCAUACAUGGUUUCUUUGGUUGGUGCUGAUGGAACAAAGGCUAAAGCAGUAGCUGUUUGCCAUAAGGAUACUUCAGCUUGGAAUCCA
rnacentral:lncRNA from 1 species